CACGUAGGGUGCGAGCGUUGUCCGGAAUUAUUGGGCGUAAAGAGCUCGGUAGGCGGUGUGUCGCGUCGGCCGUGAAAACCUGCAGCUUAACUGUGGCUUGCGGUCGAUACGGGCAUCACUGGAGGUUCGGCAGGGGAGACUGGAAUUCCUGGUGUAGCGGUGAAAUGCGUAGAGAUCGGGAAGAACAUCGGUGGCGAAAGCGCUCUGCUGGACCGAGACUGACGGCUGAG
rnacentral:rRNA from 1 species